rnacentral:lncRNA from 1 species
GCAUGGUAUCUUUGCGAGUUAGCACUCCCGAAGAGAUCGAUCAGUACAAGGGCUUCAUGUGGAUACCCGUAAACUGGAUGCAUGUGCGACUGCGAGCAUCAUGAAGAACCAACUAUCAUGAAUUUUGGAUAUGAUGAUCUGCUAUCCACACUCAAGUGUGGAGUUUUAAACUCAAUUCAUUAUUCAGAUAUAAUCUAAUUUGAUAUAGA